rnacentral:rRNA from 1 species
UACGGAGGGAGCUAGCGUUGUUCGGAAUUACUGGGCGUAAAGCGCACGUAGGCGGCUUUGUAAGUUAGAGGUGAUAGCCUGGAGCUCAACUCCAGAAUUGCCUUUAAGACUGCAUCGCUUGAAUCCAGGAGAGGUGAGUGGAAUUCCGAGUGUAGAGGUGAAAUUCGUAGAUAUUCAGAAGAACACCAGUGGCGAAGGCGUCUCACUGGACUGGUAUUGACGCUGAGGUGCGAAAGCGUGGGGAGCAAACAGGAUUA